rnacentral:tRNA from 2 species
AUCCACUACUCAGUUGGUAGAGCACAAAGCUCUUAACCUUAUGGACGUGGGUUCAAGCCCCAUGGUGGAUA